rnacentral:RNase_P_RNA from 1 species
AAACCGCAAGUGUGCAGUCGCUGCGUGGCCUCGCGCCGCGCAGAGGAAAGUCCGAACUUCACAGGGCAGGGUGCCGGUCGAGAACCUCGUUCAAGGCCGGGGACGGCGGCGCAAGCCGCUGGUCACAGAGAAGUGCAACAGAAAGCGAACCGCUCCGGCUACGGCUGGAGUAAGGGUGAAAAGGGGGUGUAAGAGACCACCAGAUACGCCAGCAAUGACGUAUGCUAUGAAAACCUCCCCGAAGCAAGGCCAAAUAAGGGUGCUUUUUCCGCAAGGGAAGCAGGGUUGCUCGUCCAACUGUUCGGGGUUUCACCUCGAACAGAGUAUCCGGGUAGGCCGCAUCAGAUAAAUGAUUGCAGCUUCACCACUUGAUGGUGAUUCACAGAAUUCGGCUUACAGCUUCGGUUUCAGC